rnacentral:rRNA from 1 species
UGGCGGACGGGUGAGUAACGCGUGGGUAACCUGCCUUACACAGGGGGAUAACACUUAGAAAUAGGUGCUAAAACCGCAUAAGCGCACAGCUUCGCAUGAAGCGGUGUGAAAAACUCCGGUGGUGUAAGAUGGACCCGCAUCUGAUUAGCUUGUUGGCGGGGUAACGGCCCACCAAGGCGACGAUCAGUAGCCGGCCUGAGAGGGCGGACGGCCACAUUGGGACUGAGACACGGCCCAGACUCCUACGGGAGGCAGCAG